rnacentral:rRNA from 1 species
AUGGCCUUCUUCGACGCGGCCUUCGACGGCGACCUUCCCCGCCUCAGGGAGCUGGCGAGCGGCAGGGACGCGGAGGGGAUGGCCUGGCUUGCCGACGUGUGUCUCGUGGGCGGGGGGCCGCUUCAGACGGCGGCACGCAUGGGGAAACUGGAUGCCGUCAGGUGCAUGGUGGAGGAGCUGGGCUUCGAUGUCAAUGCGGGCAGCCAAUCUGGUUUAACUGCUCUGACUGCCGCUGCAGUGGAUGAAAGAAUGCAUGUUAUGAGAUACCUUCUGGACAAGGGGGCUGAUGUGAAUAAGCCAGUCUAUUCAGGCCAUUCUCCUCUUCACCAUGCUGCAAAAUAUGGACGCGAUGAAGCAGCACGAUUGUUGCUAUCUAAAGGAGCUAGUGUUGAUUCAACUUUUCGUGGUCUGACACCACUACAUUUUGCUGCUGGCUUUGGGAUGAUUGGUGUCAUGAAAGUACUGUUGGAGCACCAUGCAGAUCCGAACAAGGUCUCAGAAGAGGGAAGUACUCCGCUGACUGAAGCACUUCGUGGCACCGAUUCAGGACUACCUGAAUCUACUAUACUGGAGUGUGUCAAGCUGCUUGUGGAGGCCUGCACAGAUGUAAAUUCUGCUAAUAGCGAAACUCCGUUGGUAAUAGCAACUCGUUAUGGCUUAACUGACUGCGUCAAGUACCUGUUGAAGGCUGGUGCUUCCAAAAAAACCCAACUCUCAGCUAAAAAGAAAACCCCCAGCUCUCGACUCUCCGAUGCCGAGGCAAAGUCGCCGGCGGCAAUGGACACCUCAGACUUCAAAGUUAAGCUCGGCUUUGAAAGAGCUCGUCGACGCAACCGUUCCUACGGCGGGCUCCCACGCCUGCCAAACGAGGGCUCGCCGCAGAUGGCCUUCUUUGAUGCGGCCGCCGAGGGAAAUCUUCCCCGCCUCAUGGAGAUGGCGAGAGGCAGGGACGCGGAGGGGAUGGCCUGGCUUGCCGAUGUGUGUAUCGUAGGUGGGGGGCCGUUUCAGGCGGCGGCACGCAUGGGGGAACUGGAUGCUGUCAGGUGCAUGGUGGAGGAGCUAGGCUUUGAUGUCAAUGCUAGUAGCAAAGCUGGUGUAAGUGCUUUGACUACUGCUACAAUUGAUGAAAGAAUGGAUGUUAUGAGGUACCUUCUGGACCAGGGGGCUGAUCUGAAAAAGCCAGAUGAUUCAGGACAUUUUCCUCUACACCUUGCUGCAAAAUAUGGACGUGAAGAAGCAGCACGAUUGUUGCUAUCUAGAGGAGCUAGUGUUGAUGUAGCUUAUCUUGGUAUGACACCACUAUAUUUCGCUGCUUCCUGUGGGAUGAUUGGUGUCAUGAAAGUUCUACUGGAGCACCAUGCAGAUCCAAACAAGGUCUCAGAACAGGGAUGUACUCCGCUGACUGGAGCACUUCAUGCCACCGAUUCAGGACUACCUGAAUCUAUUUCACUGAAGUGUGUCAAGCUGCUUGUGGAGGCAGGCACAGAUGUAAAUUCUGCUAAUAUCGAAACUCCGUUGGUAAUAGCAACUAGUUAUGGCUUAACUGACUGUGUCAAGUACCUGUUGAAGGCUGGUGCAGACCCUAAUAUCCCAGAUAUUCAUUCUGGUGCCAAGCCAAUAGAAGUUGCUGCAAUCCAUGGAAGAUGGAAGCUUGUGGAGUUACUAUUUCCUUUAACUUCUCCUAUUCGUACUGUACGAAAUUGGACCGUCGAAGGAAUUAUUGCUCAUGUCAAAAGGCCCUCGAAGCCCACGGUUAAGCAUGAUAAAAGUACGAAAGUUCAGUUGAAAUCAUUUGGUGAGAAAGCUAUUAAGAGAAAGGACUAUCAUGGCGCGUCAAAGUUCUACACCGAGGCAAUCGAGCUGGACCCUAGUGAUGCAACACUGUACUCAAACAGGAGCCUUUGCUACCUGCAAAUGACUGAAGGAGAUAAGGCUUUGCGCGAUGCUAACACUUGCAUAAAGCUGCGCCCCGAAUGGAUCAAAGGUUACUACAGGAAAGGAGCCGCUCUCAUGUCGCUCGAGGACUACAAAGAAGCUUGUGAUGCAUUCAUGGCUGGACUGCAGCUGGACCCUGGAAACGCCGAGAUGGAGAAAGUGUUCAUGGAUGCGGUCGAGGAAAUGAAGAAGGAUCACUUGGCUAAAAAAGGCUCCAAGCCAUCCGAUUAG